CAUUUGUUUCAGAAUGUGUUGUGUUUCACCCUAUUUUUGCUAACUACUUGUGGAGUGUUGGAUUAUUGAGCUGAAGAGUUUAUAAUACUCUCAUCAUUUGUCAGUGUAAUGUUUGGAAACUAUGGCAUUAGAUAAGAGAAGUUGUGAUUUAUAUUGCCACUUUUUAAUCUUCUCUGUGACAGUCUUCUGGGAACUGUGAGACGUAAGCAAUAGCUGAAAAUGAAGAUUUACAUUGAUCAUCCACUAUGUUCCAGAUACUACAUGAUACUAACAGGACAACAGGAGAGACAUGAAGAAAGGACCGGGCUGUGGGGAGUUGAAGGCGUCGGCCAUGGGGAAGAAAACAAGAUCAGGCAGACACUGAGAAAGGUGAAGAAAAUAAUUAGUGUGAGAGGAUGGGGAAUAAGAAGCUGAAGUGGAUGUGGUCAAGGAGUGUAUGUAAGUGGAGAGAUAUUGAUAUAGAAAACUGUGGUAAAGGAUUAGGAUAUUAUAGGAUUACAUAUUUUCCAUAAAGAUGAUAAAUUCUAGACAGUGACCAUCAG
ensembl:lincRNA